AGGUCCCACCAUCAGAAGCGUGCUAGCGACAACCAGGCUCCGCGAACUAAUACUUAACGGUGAUCCCGCGGGGUAGAGUGGUAGACGAAGUGUGGGGGGUAGCUUUUAGUACAUAUGCGCCAUGAAUGGCGAAUCGUAUAUGCUGCUAUUAAGAUCCAGCAGUAUCUCUGAAGAUUUUCUACCGCCAGC
rfam:Glossina palpalis gambiensis isolate 146720 unplaced genomic scaffold Scaffold27, whole genome shotgun sequence.